UGGGGAAUCUUGCACAAUGGGGGCAACCCUGAUGCAGCGACGCCGCGUGAGCGAUGAAGCCCUUCGGGGCGUAAAGCUCUUUCGACCGGAACGAUAAUGACGGUACCGGGAGAAGAAGCUGCGGCUAACUACGUGCCAGCAGCCGCGGUAAUACGUAGGCAGCAAGCGUUGUUCGGAGUUACUGGGCGUAAAGAGUGCGUAGGCGGUUUUCUAAGUUCGGUGUGAAAUCUCCCGGCUUAACUGGGAGGGUGCGCCGAAGACUGGGAAGCUGGAGUGUGGGAAAGGCAGGCGGAAUUCCUGGUGUAGCGGUGAAAUGCGCAGAUAUCAGGAGGAACACCGGCGGUGUAGACGGCUUGCUAGACCAUAACUGACGCUGAGGCACGAAAGCGUGGGUAGCAAACA
rnacentral:rRNA from 1 species